rnacentral:rRNA from 1 species
AGCGAACGCUGGCGGCAGGCUUAACACAUGCAAGUCGAACGGGCGUAGCAAUACGUCAGUGGCAGACGGGUGAGUAACGCGUGGGAACGUACCUUUUGGUUCGGAACAACCCAGGGAAACUUGGGCUAAUACCGGAUAAGCCCUUACGGGGAAGAUUAUCGCCGAAAGAUCGGCCCGCGUCUGAUUAGCUAGUUGGUGUGGUAACGGCGCACCAAGGCGACGAUCAGUAGCUGGUCUGAGAGGAUGAUCAGCCACAUUGGGACUGAGACACGGCCCGAAACUCCUACGGGAGGCAGCAGUGGGGAAGUAAUUGGGACAAUGGGCGGCAAGCCUGAUCCAGCCAUGCCGCGUGAGUGAUGAAGGCCCUAGGGUUGUAAAGCUCUUUUGUGCGGGAAGAUAAUGACGGUACCGC